rnacentral:hammerhead_ribozyme from 1 species
AUCCGGCUGACGAGUCCCAAAUGGGACGAAAUGUGAAUCCACGAU